rnacentral:rRNA from 1 species
GACGAACGCUGGCGGCGUGCCUAAUACAUGCAAGUAGAACGCUGAAGGAGGAGCUUGCUUCUCUGGAUGAGUUGCGAACGGGUGAGUAACGCGUAGGUAACCUGCCUGGUAGCGGGGGAUAACUAUUGGAAACGAUAGCUAAUACCGCAUAAUAUUGACUAUUGCAUGAUAGUCAGUUGAAAGGUGCAACUGCACCACUACCAGAUGGACCUGCGUUGUAUUAGCUAGUUGGUGGGGUAACGGCUCACCAAGGCGACGAUACAUAGCCGACCUGAGAGGGGGAUCGGCCACACUGGGACUGAGACACGGCCCAGACUCCUACGGGAGGCAGCAGUAGGGAAUCUUCGGCAAUGGACGGAAGUCUGACCGAGCAACGCCGCGUGAGUGAAGAAGGGUUUCGGAUCGUAAAGCUCUGUUGUAAGAGAAGAACGAGUGUGAGAGUGGAAAGCUCACACUGUGACGGUAUCUUACCAGAAAGGGACGGCUAACUACGUG